AUUGAACGCUGGCGGCAUGCCUUACACAUGCAAGUCGAACGGCAGCACGGGAGCAAUCCUGGUGGCGAGUGGCGAACGGGUGAGUAAUAUAUCGGAACGUGCCCAGUCGUGGGGAUAACGUAGCGAAAGCUACGCUAAUACCGCAUACGAUCUAUGGAUGAAAGCGGGGGAUCGCAAGACCUCGCGCGAUUGGAGCGGCCGAUAUCAGAUUAGGUAGUUGGUGAGGUAAAGGCUCACCAAGCCGACGAUCUGUAGCUGGUCUGAGAGGACGACCAGCCACACUGGGACUGAGACACGGCCCAGACUCCUACGGGAGGUAGCAGUGGGGAAUUUUGGACAAUGGGCGCAAGCCUGAUCCAGCAAUGCCGCGUGCAGGAUGAAGGCCUCGGUUGUAACGUAGCUUUGUUACGGUAAC
rnacentral:rRNA from 1 species